rnacentral:rRNA from 1 species
UACGUAGGGUGCAAGCGUUAUCCAGAUUUACUGGGCGUAAAGCGCACGCAGGCGGAUGAUUAAGUCAGCUGUGAAAGCUCCCGGCUCAACUGGGAAGGGUCGGCUGAAACUGGUCGUCUGGAGGGCAACAGAGGAGUGUAGAAUUGCGGGUGUAGUGGUGAAAUGCGUAGAUAUCCGGGGAGGACCAGUGGCGAAGGCGCUACACUAGAACGGCUCUGACAGUGAGGGACGAAGCCCUGGGGCGCAAACCGG